GAACUUUCUGCUAGCUCUCUAAAGGAAUGAAAAUAACCUUGGGUUCUCACUAAGCAUCAAUUCUGUGACUGGCUCUGUGGGGUAGAGAUGAAAAGGCUCACUCAGUUCCAGCCCCUGCAGAUCCCCCAGGACCCUGGCAGCAGCAGAUCUAUGAGCCCACAUUUCCCCCUGCUUGUGAGGAUCACACCAAGAGAGACAUUCACAUCCUGGCCUCACAAAGAAGAGAUGGCAAAGUGGAAAAAGGCCGGAGUCCCCAACCCUGAGCCCUUUACCCUGUCUCAGUCUUUUAUAACGAGGUGUGUGUGCUUGGGCAAUGCCUCUCUCUUCUGGGACUCAGUGUACCCAUCUCUGCUGUGGGGAGGUUGGACUAGAUGAGAGUUUCCCAAACUCCAGUUGUUUCUUUCCCUCCCUCCACACCUGGAGAUCAGAACACCUGUACUAAAAAGUACUGAAAAUCUUUAUUCAAAUGAGCUCACUUUUUUUCAACCAAAAUAAACUUAUUUUAGAGUGAA
rnacentral:lncRNA from 1 species